rnacentral:rRNA from 10 species
CCUGGCGGCACUAGCGCGGUGGUCCCACCUGACCCCAUGCCGAACUCAGAAGUGAAACGCCGUAGCGCCGAUGGUAGUGUGGGGUCUCCCC